GAGAGAGGACCUGGAAGAAUUGAGGCUGCUCAGGUUGAAUUCAGGCUGCUCAGGUUUCAUUCCUAUGGUGCAUUUGGAUUUCUGAAAUUUUCGUCACAAGGAACUCGGUCUCUUAAACUUUAUUUCUUGACCUCCUGAAGAAAU